GAAAGGGCAGCUAAUACCCGAUGGUCCUUUUAGCUUACGAGCUAUUUGGUAAAUGGUGCUUCCGCUCGGGGAGAGGUCCAUGUCCUAUCAGUUUGUUGGUGAGGUAACGGCUCACCAAGACUUUAACGGGUAGCCGGACUGAGAGGUUGGCCGGUCACACUGGGACUGAGACACUGCCCAGACUCCUACGGGAGGCUGCAGUCGAGAAUCUUCCGCAAUGGGCGCAAGCCUGACGGAGCGACGCCGCGUGUAGGAAGAAGGCUUUCGGGUUGUAAACUACUGUCACACGUUAAGAAAUGCCAUGUUUCAGCAUGGUUUGACGUAAGCGUGAGAGGAAGUCACGGCUAACUUCGUGCCAGCAGCCGCGGUAAAACGAAGGUGGCUAGCGUUGUUCGGAAUUACUGGGCAUAAAGAGCGCGUAGGUGGUCUUAUAUGUCGAUUGUGAAAUCCUGCAGCUCAACUGCAGAACUGCAAUCGAAACUGUAAGACUCGAGGACAGGAGGGGAGAGUGGAAUUCCUAGUGUAGCGGUGAAAUGCGUA
rnacentral:rRNA from 1 species